CCUAGAUCCAGCAAUGCCGUGUGCAGGMCAGAAGGCCUUCGGGUUAGUAAACUGCUUUUGUACGGAACGAAACGGCUCUGGUUAUAUACCCGGGGCUAAUGACGGUACCGUAAGAAUAAGCACCGGCUAACUACGUGCCAGCAGCCGCGGUAAUACGUAGGGUGCAAGCGUUAAUCGGAAUUACUGGGCGUAAAGCGUGCGCAGGCGGUUGUGUAAGACAGGCGUGAAAUCCCCGGGCUCAACCUGGGAAUGGCGCUUGUGACUGCACGGCUGGAGUGCGGCAGAGGGGGAUGGAAUUCCGCGUGUAGCAGUGAAAUGCGUAGAUAUGCGGAGGAACACCGAUGGCGAAGGCAAUCCCCUGGGCCUGCACUGACGCUCAUGCACGAAAGCGUGGGGAGCAAACAGGAUUAGAUACCCUGGUAGUCCACGCCCUAAACGAUGUCAACUGGUUGUUGGGUCUCUUCUGACUCAGUAAC
rnacentral:rRNA from 1 species